UAGGCCCAGGCUGGAUUUGAACCCACCAGCUCUGGUGUAUGUGGCUGGCGCCUUAGCCACUUGAGCUACAGGUGCAGAGCCUAAAGAAUUAUCUUUCUAGAGUCUGUUAGCCAUUUCAGAACUUUGGAAAUGUAAUGGUCAAUUCAUUAGAAAGAAACAGUA
rnacentral:snoRNA from 1 species